ensembl:lncRNA
GAUUUAGUCAUGUGUACUGCAUAUGGAAUAAAAUCAACGAUAUUGUUGUUCUCUUCCAUGGAGAAUGGUUUUAUUGUGCACAUUUAUGUAGCGUGAGUUUCCACUUCAGUUAACGUAGCCUGCCUAGCCUGCUGGAAAAGUUACAUUUUCAUUCAAUAAUAAGGAGUAAACUACGCAAUUCUGUGUACUUGUAGGUUGCGAAAGGUCAUGAAAAUAUAAUUAAAUGUCCUUGAAAACUCCUUGAAAAAUGGGUGGGAACCCUGGACAUAAAGGAAGGCAUUAUUUUGCUGUUAAACAAUAAGUAUGCAUCCAAAUGGUUUCAGAGAGACUUUUGCAGUAGGCAUAUAUACUCUGGGAAAAGAGAUCUGAUGGACUUUGUAAAUCAUCCCAAGUAACCAGAGGUAUAUGAAACAUCUGUCAUUUCACACACCUACAGUGUUUGCAUGAACACUUCCACUGUCACGCCAAGCUUUCGCUGACAUUCCUUUCGUUUUCUAGCUAAGGGCAAACAAAGUGCUGAAAUUAGAAGCUGAGCUAUGACACUACUGACUGGCUUAACGAGCCAAAGCAGAUAACCACAACCACAAUUAGUAUAAUGAGCGGGAUGAACUUAACGUGUGAAGCUUAGCCUAGAACUGAUGACCUAAUCUCUGAACACAGUAAUAGUAUCAGAUAAAUGUGAGAUUUAACCAUGUAACCUAUUUCGACUGAAAAAUAAGAGCAGAAACCAAUGAACCAAUGCCCUUGUUUUAACGGGUCAUGUUAAAAGCCCCCUAUCUAAUAAUGGGAAUAGUUGAUGUUUCUCUUUUCCAGUAAGCCUGUGACAUUAAAUGCUAAAGCAUUUCCUUCAGGAUCUGUGGGUCGCUGUACCGAUGCACGUGAGCUCUGCCCUCUAGCCAGAGCUGCUGGCAGUAACAGAGUGACAGUUUCUGUUUGUUGAUGGUGACAAGGUGGAACUAGCCUUCAACUGCCCCCAUCCUCCAUCACUCACCUAUCAAUCACACUAUAUUCAGCUUCCAUUCGUGAUCCUACGGAUUUCAGUAAAGGCAAGUAUGGCUGUGACUAAUUCUGUUUUCCGUGCGCGCGGUACCACUUCCACUCCAGGCUUACACCCCAGCACCUCAUGCCUGGCCCGCCACAAUCAACCUUUCUCACACAUGCAAGCCUCCACUUGUGCCGAGGGUUCAUCCGAGUCUUGAAAGCUAGUGUGCCAUCUAUGUAUUAUGCAUAGAAAAGACAUGAAACGUAUCCAAGAAACAGACAGGCUACCAGUUCAGGGCAGACCCAAUACUUUCACUCACACAAAAACAGUUUAAUGUACCCACAAGACUUAUUGCCACAACCCCCACCAAUCCACAGAAUCCCCAAAUGGCCGUAGUAGUUCAUUUAUCCAUUCCCGACCAGGCUGCAGUUGUGGGGCACCGACUAAAGGAUGGCUUGUGGGAGCAGAUGCAGUGGAGCUAUGGGGCAGAUGCAGUGGUGCUAUGGCAAUAAGGGGCAGAUGCAAUGGUGCUAUGGGGCAGAUGCAGUGGUGCUAUGGGGCAGAUGCAGUGGUGCUAUGGGGCAGAUGCAGUGGUGCUAUGGCAAUAAGGGGCAGAUGCAAUGGUGCUAUGGGGCAGAUGCAGUGGUGCUAUGGCAAUAAGGGGCAGAUGCAGUGGUGCUAUGGGGCAGAUGCAGUGGUGCUAUGGGGCAGAUGCAGUGGUGCUAUGGCAAUAAUGGGGGCAGAUGCAGUGGUGCUAUGGCAAUAAGGGGCAGUCUGAGGAGCUAAUAAAUAGCCUGUAAGCAGAGCCUGCAGCACCUCAAUGGAACAUUAAUUAAGGCUUGCUCAUAGACAUGACAGAGGACAAAACCGACUUCCCUCUCCUCUUGAAUGUAUCCCAGGGCUUCUCUUUGCUCUUGUAUUGUGUAUUGUUUGUAUUCUCCUGUCUAGAAGGCAUUUCUUUUCGCACAGCUUCAUCUUUGUGAGUAAUUAAGUAACGUUAGCUCAGUGAUAUCUGAAUCAUGUGGAUACUGAAGCAAGCACAUUUGCAUAUGGCUGCUAUCACGUCCAUAUUACUAGACUGCGUGCUAGUUUACAGCACGAGUCUCAUUAAAAACUGUGUGUGCACAGCACACAGCACACAGCACACAGCACACGGAGAGAGAACAUACAGAACAGACAUUUUGACAGUAGGGAAUAAUCACGCGUGCUGCAUAAUUAGGGCAAGGUCAUACAGUGAGGAAGACGUGUACGGUGAAUGUGCAUGCAUGUAGACACCCGCACGUGCAUCAUUCACUGCGCUGGUGGAGUUUUACACUAGCACAGCUCACAUGGGUCAUCCUAUACUCUACACAGGGUGUAGGUUACAGCCAAUGACAUGCUCUCAGUGAAUCGUGGAAUCAUGUGACACACCCCCUAACCAGGGAACCAAUCAACACCUGACUCAUUAUGACCCAUAAGCCUUGCUUGGCUCUGAUUAAUAAUAUACAUGUUGUAUAAUAACCCCUCUUAAAAACAUAAAAACAACACAACUAAAAAAGAACAAUAUCUAAAAGUGUAAAUUAAAGUAAAAGUCAUUUACAUGUUGAAUAAUAAGUAUCUGUUAUUGUCCAGACCACAAAAUGAUAACACA